rnacentral:rRNA from 1 species
UAGGGAAGAACAAGUGCCGUUCAAAUAGGGCGGCACCUUGACGGUACCUAACCAGAAAGCCACGGCUAACUACGUGCCAGCAGCCGCGGUAAUACGUAGGUGGCAAGCGUUGUCCGGAAUUAUUGGGCGUAAAGGGCUCGCAGGCGGUUUCUUAAGUCUGAUGUGAAAGCCCCCGGGCUAACCCGGGGGAGGGUCAUUGGAAACUGGGGAACUUGAGUGCAGAAGAGGAGAGUGGAAUUCCACGUGUAGCGGUGAAAUGCGUAGAGAUGUGGAGGAACACCAGUGGCGAAGGCGACUCUCUGGUCUGUAACUGACGCUGAGGAGCGAAAGCGUGGGGAGCGAACAGGAUUAGAUACCCUGGUAGUCCACGCCGUAAACGAUGAGUGCUAAGUGUUAGGGGGUUUCCGCCCCUUAGUGCUGCAGCUAACGCAUUAAGCACUCCGCCUGGGGAGUACGGUCGCAAGACUGAAACUCAAAGGAAUUGACGGGGGCCCGCACAAGCGGUGGAGCAUGUGGUUUAAUUCGAAGCAACGCGAAGAACCUUACCAGGUCUUGACAUCCUCUGACAAUCCUAGAGAUAGGACGUCCCCUUCGGGGGCAGAGUGACAGGUGGUGCAUGGUUGUCGUCAGCUCGUGUCGUGAGAUGUUGGGUUAAGUCCCGCAACGAGCGCAACCCUUGAUCUUAGUUGCCAGCAUUCAGUUGGGCACUCUAAAGUGACUGCCCGGUGACAACCCGGGAGGAAGGGUGGGGGGAUGACGUCAAAUCAUCAUGCCCCUUAUGACCUGGGCUA